rnacentral:rRNA from 1 species
CGGGGGAUAACUACUCGAAAGAGUGGCUAAUACCGCAUACGCCCUACGGGGGAAAGGGGGGGAUCGCAAGACCUCUCACUAUUGGAGCGGCCGAUAUCGGAUUAGCUAGUUGGUGGGGUAAAGGCUCACCAAGGCAACGAUCCGUAGCUGGUUUGAGAGGACGACCAGCCACACUGGGACUGAGACACGGCCCAGACUCCUACGGGAGGCAGCAGUGGGGAAUUUUGGACAAUGGGGGAAACCCUGAUCCAGCCAUCCCGCGUGUAUGAUGAAGGCCUUCGGGUUGUAAAGUACUUUUGGCAGAGAAGAAAAGGUAUCCCCUAAUACGGGAUACUGCUGACGGUAUCUGCAGAAUAAGCACCGGCUAACUACGUGCCAGCAGCCGCGGUAAUACGUAGGGUGCAAGCGUUAAUCGGAAUUACUGGGCGUAAAGCGUGUGUAGGCGGUUCGGAAAGAAAGAUGUGAAAUCCCAGGGCUCAACCUUGGAACUGCAUUUUUAACUGCCGAGCUAGAGUAUGUCAGAGGGGGGUAGAAUUCCACGUGUAGCAGUGAAAUGCGUAGAUAUGUGGAGGAAUACCGAUGGCGAACCCCUGGGAUAAUACUGACGCUCAGAC